rnacentral:rRNA from 1 species
CCUACGGGUGGCAGCAGUGAGGAAUAUUGGUCAAUGGACGAGAGUCUGAACCAGCCAAGUAGCGUGAAGGAUGACUGCCCUAUGGGUUGUAAACUUCUUUUAUAUGGGAAUAAAAUGUUCCACGUGUGGGAUUUUGUAUGUACCAUAUGAAUAAGGAUCGGCUAACUCCGUGCCAGCAGCCGCGGUAAUACGGAGGAUCCGAGCGUUAUCCGGAUUUAUUGGGUUUAAAGGGAGCGUAGGUGGAUGGUUAAGUCAGUUGUGAAAGUUUGGGGCUCAACCGUAAAAUUGCAGUUGAUACUGGCAGUCUUGAGUACAGUAGAGGUGGGCGGAAUUCGUGGUGUAGCGGUGAAAUGCUUAGAUAUAACGAAGAACUCCGAUUGCGAAGGCAGUUCACUGGACUGCAACUGACACUGAGGCUCGAAAGUGUGGGUAUCAAACAGGAUUAGAUACCCCUGUAGUC